AUUUUCAGGAUUUUAUUUUAAUUUGCCAUCAUAGUCUUCUAAUUUCGUCAUUCAUUGUACUAAUGGUUGCAAUUUCAAGUUAUUUUCUCUCUCAAUUUUUCCAUAAUUUUCUUCUGAGUUUUCUAUUUCGUAAAGAGGUGAUUCGUAUUGUCGUUCUUAAUCUAUUUCUUUUUUAUGUGAAUUUUUAUUUUAAUUUUAUUGUUACACAUGUAGGAUUUUGUCCAGAUUGAUCUAAGUAAUUGUCAAUAGAUGAAAAUCAAUCAGUAAUGCCUUCAUGAAGGGUGUUAUUCACAUAUAGAUAUGUAAUUUUUAUUUUCAGAUUUUUGUGUACACAAGAAAGGUUACCUCAAUAUGGAAGAGGGGUGGGGGGUACUUUUCAAUUUUAUCCAAGGUGAAAACCUAUGAUGGACAAGUACAGUGUUGAAGCUGCAACAGUUCUUGUGAACGAGGCUCUGCGCUUGCCCAAUUUCUGAAGCAGUGCCUAUAUAUGAAUAAAUUCUAUCCACAUUUUCCACAUAGAGGAGAUACACCAAGGCCUAUUAUCAAAAUAGUUUUGAAAAAAUGGUUGGUUUGGGAAGAGUGCAAUAGCUAAGUCUGGGAUUAUAGCUUUGGAAAAAAAAUCAGCUUUUUCAUCUUGCUAUUAGCUCAACAUGAAGAGACAAUGAGGUUGCAAGAAAGAAGGUGAUCAGUUCACUGGCCUAAUAAUCGAUUGAAAUGGAUCUUGCUGAGCCUCGAGCAAAAACACCAUGACGACAACUAAAAAUCAAAUGAUGUUGCGUGUAAAAUCACGCGGGAAAGUAAAUUCAUCUGAAGUGAAGCAACGCGAACCCACAUCAGGGAAGACACUUGGGGUCACUUCUAGAAAGAAAAUUGCAAAAAUAAAUGCCAGGAACUCUAAAUAUAGUGAUUGCAUUUGGUGGAUUUGUCUUGCAAAGGGCUAAAGGAUUACCUACAGUACAAAAGAAAUGGUACAGUUUUAAGUUGCUAUUCCCCCUUAAUAGUUUAUCUUCUCCAAAUGAAAGCACUUGGAGUAAAGCCUUGAUUUGUCGUUCUUCCAACAAUAAUGAGUAGAGGAAGGUAUGUGAAUCAAGCACGGAAUGGAUUGAGGCAGUGCGAUGAUAUUGUUAUUAGUUUUGGGGAAAAGACAUCGUUUCCACCCAAAACUAUACCCGAAAAGUCGAAGCCACAUCUAAACUAUACUAAUGACCUAUUAC